rnacentral:rRNA from 1 species
AUUGAACGCUGGCGGAAUGCUUUACACAUGCAAGUCGAGCGGCAGCGCGGGGGCAACCCUGGCGGCGAGCGGCGAACGGGUGAGUAACAUAUCGGAACGUACCCCGUCGUGGGGGAUAACACAGCGAAAGCUGUGCUAAUACCGCAUACGACCUGAGGGUGACAGCGGGGGAUCGCAAGACCUCGCGCGAUGGGAGCGGCCGAUAUCGGAUUAGCUUGUUGGUGAGGUAAAGGCUCACCAAGGCGACGAUCCGUAGCUGGUCUGAGAGGACGACCAGCCACACUGGAACUGAGACACGGUCCAGACUCCUACGGGAGGCAGCAGUGGGGAAUUUUGGACAAUGGGGGCAACCCUGACCCAGCUAUUCCGCGUGAGUGAAGAAGGCCUUCGGGUUGUAAGGCUCUUUCGGCAGGAACGAAACGGCAGGCUCUAACAUAGCCUGUCAAUGACGGUACCUGAAGAAGAAGCACCGGCUAACUACGUGCCAGCAGCCGCCGUAA